GCCAUGGCAUGACACUCUUCCAGAAUGACUUGUAAAGAAAGUUUGAAGACUGAGUUUUUCUCCUGUCAUCUUCUAAUGCUGUAUUACUAUCAUAUGCGUGUAUUUUAGUUGUAUCUGCUAUCAUUGUAACACUCAAAAUUAUCAGUUAAGUUCAUCUUUAAAUAUAUUUGUUACAGUGCAGUGUUUUGGGAAAGGUCUAUUCUAAAUUAUGUAAGUAUUACUACAUUUUUUGAAAGUCUUU
rnacentral:lncRNA from 1 species